GACGUAGGUGGCGAGCGUUGUUCGGAAUCACUGGGCAUAAAGCGCACGUAGGCGCCAAGUCAGUCAGGUGUGAAAUACCUCGGCUCAACCGAGGAACUGCGCCUGAUACUGCUUGGCUUGAGGUCCGGAGGGGAGAGUGGAAUUCCCGGUGGAGCGGUGAAAUGCGUAGAGAUCGGGAAGAACGCCGGCGGCGAAAGCGACUCUCUGGUCGGAAUCGUGACGCUGAGGUGCGAAAGCUAGGGGAGCAAACAGG
rnacentral:rRNA from 1 species